GACGAACGCUGGCGGCGUGCCUAAUACAUGCAAGUAGAACGCUGAAGGAGGAGCUUGCUUCUCCGGAUGAGUUGCGAACGGGUGAGUAACGCGUAGGUAACCUGCCUGGUAGCGGGGGAUAACUAUUGGAAACGAUAGCUAAUACCGCAUAACAGUAGAUAUUGCAUGAUAUCUGCUUGAAAGGUGCAAUUGCAUCACUACCAGAUGGACCUGCGUUGUAUUAGCUAGUUGGUGAGGUAACGGCUCACCAAGGCGACGAUACAUAGCCGACCUGAGAGGGUGAUCGGCCACACUGGGACUGAGGCACGGCCCAGACUCCUACGGGAGGCAGCAGUAGGGAAUCUUCGGCAAUGGACGGAAGUCUGACCGAGCAACGCCGCGUGAGUGAAGAAGGUUUUCGGAUCGUAAAGCUCUGUUGUAAGAGAAGAACGAGUGUGAGAGUGGAAAGUUCACACUGUGACGGUAUCUUACCAGAAAGAGACGGCUAACUACGUG
rnacentral:rRNA from 1 species